UGAAACAUAUUAUAAAUAUUUGGUAAGUUUUGUAGAGAUGAGCUAAGUGUUCUCCCAGUUUCCCAUUCUGUACCCUUGUUUCUUCCACUCCAGUCACACCAUACAACCUACUCUUCCUCCAAUACCCUGUAUUAUUACUUAUCCUUGUUUUACUUCUGUCUGGGAUGCUCUUCACAAUGUAUUGUCCACCUGGAAAGUGGACCAUAUUUCUGAAAAGUUAGUGGAGAAAUUAAUGCCUCUGUGAAAUUGCCCUUUAUUACUCGACUUUUGUGCAGACCUUGCUGCAGAAUAUCAAAUACAUUUCUUUUUCUAUCUGGCACAUGACAAAAUCUUUCUCAGCUUCACUUGUUUGACACAGCCAUAGAACGUGGGCGGGAAAAUUGUGUACACGUUUAAGCUUAGCCCGUAAUUGCUUUCCUGUUGUCAUCCUCCAUGCUGUUUUUCACUUUCAGGUGGUUGGUUUAAAGAUCCCCUCAAGUGGAUCUUGGGAGCUAUUAUAAGAAGGGAGCCCAGGUCCCCAAGUCAUUGGUUGGUGAACUGUCCAACCAGCAACUCCUGCAUAGGACAACUGUGAGAAUGAAAAAUAAACUUUUAUUGUGUUAAACCACGGAGAUUUGGGAAUUUAUCCAUUAUAGCCACUGUAGAGACACCAUUUGCCACCCCAAAAUGUGUCUCUUUGGUAUAAGGAUUGUUUUAGGCUGAUUAAUUUUUAAGAAACUGCAAACAUAGGAGCUCUAAAAACCAAACAGAAGUUACCUUUUUUAAAGAGACGUGUACAUGUAUAAGGAAAAUCUUUAUUUGUAAGCGUGUCUCCCUUGCUGUACCAGGAAGAGAAAGAUGACUCAAUCUUUAGAAACUAUUAUCAGUGGAGAAGGCAAUGACUUAGGUCUGAAUAACCUUACCCUUGUCUCCAGUGCAUGUCCAGAUAAUCUCUCAUAACUGUCCACCCCCAAUAUCUCGUUUUGUCUUUAUCUGAAGAUGGUUUUAAGGUGAUGGCUUUGGCAAUUUCAGAGAGUUACUCAGUUUUUCUGGGUUUCUCCCAUGUAUACACAUUACUAAACAUUUGUUUGUUUUUUUUCUGUUAAUGUAAUAUCAGUGUAAUUCGUAGACUAGCCAAGAAAGCUAGAAAGGAAGACAAAAAAUCUUCUGCCCCUGAAGUUUUGGCAACCUGGAUGGGAUUUUUCACUGGCUGGACACUGCUGGCUCUGGGGCUGCUGCAGAUCUUGGGACCUUUGACAAAAAGCUGGCAGAAGGUACUCAAGCCUGGAGGAAAGUGACAAGUGCUUUAGCAAGGACUUAAUGGCUGGUAGGCCACCAGAGAGACCUCUGAUAUUUGUGCCAUUUUUAUCAUUUUGGGACACUACAAUCAGCCCUGAGUUCCACUGAGCAGAAGAAAUGAAAUAAGCCAAAAACAUCUAAAAGGUCCUGGGAGCCAGAGAGGGAGAUCAAGGAGAACAAGCAAAACACAUCAAAUGAAAGUGAGCUCCUGGAAGAUGUGGACAGUAAUUUGAACUGAAAUAUAGAAUAAUCAAGGAGAUUGAAGUACUUCUCAAGAAGUCUUUUUUUUGGAGCUACAACAAACAAACAAACAAAAACCAAAUCCACUCCCUUCCCACAAAAAAAGAUUUCCUAACCAAAGAAUUUAUCAGAAAAAUUGAAGGAGACUGCUAUCGGUUCCACAAAAUCUGGUGUCUCUUUAUUCUGGGCAUGUAAAAUAGUGUCAGAGAGGAAGAAUUAUCUGCCCUUCAAGUUCCUUCUAGCUGGACUAAGAAUCAAACUGACAUGAUACAAAUUAACAGGAGAAAAAUCAAGUUUGAAAACAUGGGAAUCCACAUAGACAU